UACGAAGGGGGCUAGCGUUGUUCGGAAUUACUGGGCGUAAAGCGUAUGUAGGCGGAUCGUUAAGUCGGGGGUGAAAUCCCUCGGCUCAACCGAGGAACUGCAUCCGAUACUGGCGGGCUUGAAUCCGGGAGAGGGAUGUGGAAUUCCAGGUGUAGCGGUGAAAUGCGUAGAUAUCUGGAGGAACACCGGUGGCGAAGGCGGCAUCCUGGACCGGUAUUGACGCUGAGGCGCGAAAGCUAGGGGAGCAAACGGG
rnacentral:rRNA from 1 species